rnacentral:rRNA from 1 species
CCGACGGUGAGGGGUGAAUGCUGGGGGCGCAAACCGGAUUAGAUACCCGGGUAGUCCCAGCAGUAAACGAUGCCAGCUAUUGUUGCUGGAACCAUGGGUUCCAGCAGUGCCGAAGGGAAGCCGUGAAGCUGGCCACCUGGGAAGUACGGUCGCAAUGCUGAAACUUAAAGGAAUUGGCGGGGGAGUACCACAACCGGUGGAGCCUGCGGUUUAAUUGGAUACAACGCCGGGAAUCUUACCGUGAGGGUGACAGCAGUAUGAAGGCCAGGCUAAAGACCUUGCCAGAUCAGAUGAGAGGAGGUGCAUGGCCGUCGCCAGUUCGUACCGUGAGGCAUCCUGUUUAGUCAGGCAACGAUCGAGACCCGCAGUCUUAUUUGCCAGCAUGCCCUUUGGGGUGUAUGGGUACAAUAAGACGACCGCCAGCGCUAAGCUGGAGGAAGGAGCGGGCUACGGUAGGUCAGCAUGCCCCGAAUCCUCCGGGAUACACGCUGGCUACAAUGGUCAGG